GAGCUUCGUCUGUUCGUCGUGCUCCAGCCCCUCUCCUCAUUCCCCUGUUCCUCGUCUGUUCUUCUCGCUGCUCAGUCGCGCUUUGCCCGCCGAACCCUCGUCGUGCUCGUCGCCUGGUCGCCGUCGUCCGUCGUGCUCUUCCGUUCAAAGUUUGAUUGAUCCCAGGGCAAGUGAGAACACGGGUGAUUUAGAAGGUGAAACAGUUUAAAAAUCGAAAAACCAAGCCAAAUCAAUCGAAUUAAUUUGGUUCAGUUUGGUUUAGAUGGCUUAAAAAACCCGAACCAAACCAAUCCAAUUAAAAUCGAAAUGAUUUGAUCGGUUGGUUUUUCGUAUCACUGCCAAACCAAUCCGUACCACAAACCCCCGUUGAUGAUGAAUCGGCUAAAGCCAAUUGCUCGUUCUCUCCGGCUUCGAUUCCUCGAAUUGCCUCUUGCCACCCGACUCAUUGCAACUCGGUCACUCCAACACUCUCUGAACCAAGUGACUAGCUCCUCUUUCAGCGCUAGUUCUACUGCUGCACCUACGGUUUCUUCCCUUUCGUAUCAUCACUCUUGCAAUUUUCGCUUUCCAAGCAUUCAUCACAGAUUCUUCUUUUCUUCGAAACCUAGCUCAAUUUUGGAGCUUGUUUCGGCCAACGAUUGGUCCCAAGGGUUAGAGCUAGAGUUGGACAAGUGUUCCCCCUCUCUGACACAUGAAACUGUUCUCUAUAUUUUGAGGAGGUUGGAUAAAAAUCCCCAAAAAGCUUCGUGCUUUUUUAGUUGGGUCAGUGAGAAACAAUGGUUUAUACCAAGUUCAUCCGUGUAUAGCUUGAUUGUUAGAAUUUUGGCCAAUAAGGAGACCAUGAAACAGUUUUGGGUUACUCUAAGGAUGAUGAAGGAAAAGGGGUUUUUUCUCGAUGAAGAAACUUAUGUGACAAUUUCAAUGCAUUUUAAGAAGGAAAAAAUGGACUCUGAUUGUGUUGCUUUGAACCACUUCUAUCAUCGGAUGCUGGAGGAAAAUGCAAUGCAAGGUCUUGUCAAGAAGGUGGUUGGGGUUGUUUCGGCAUCAAAGUGGGGAGAUGAGGUUGCGAACGGAUUGGAGAAGCUUAACAUUCAGCUGUCGGAUAACUUUGUGAUAAGGGUUUUGAAGGAGCUUCGAACUCAGCCUUCCAAGGCUUUUGAGUUCUUCCAUUGGGCUGGGAAGCAAUUUGGUUUUGAGCAUAAUACUAUUACAUACAAUGCAAUUGCAAGGGUUUUAGCUAGGACUGAUUCGGUUGAGGAGUUUUGGAAUAUUCUUGAGGAGAUGAAGAGUUUUGGUCAUGAAUUGGAUAUCGAUACUUAUGUGAAGAUAUCGAGGCAGUUUCGAAAGAGUAGGAUGGUGGAGAAUUCGGUGAAGCUUUAUGAGCUUAUGAUGGAUAGCUCAUACAAACCAUCAGUUCAGGAUUGUGUUAUCCUUUUGAAGAGUAUAUCUGAAUGUGAUUUUCCGGAUCUCAAUUUAGUUUUCAGAGUAGCUAAGAAAUAUGAGUCAACUGGGCACACACUAUCCAAGGCAAUCUAUGAUUCCAUCCAUAGGUCUUUGACAAGCUUAGGGAAAUUCAGUGAAGCUGAAAAAAUUGUUCACACAAUGAGAAAUGCUGGUUAUGAGCCUGAUAAUAUCACCUACAGUCAAUUAGUGUUUGGACUUUGUAAGACAAGGAGGCUUGAAGAAGCAUGUAAGGUGUUGGAUGAGAUGGAAUCUUGUGGAUGUAUCCCUGAUAUCAAGACAUGGACCAUCUUAAUCAAAGGGCAUUGUGAUGCCAAAGAAGUAGAUAAGGCAUUGCUUUGUUUUUCUAAGAUGGUCGAAAAGGGCUGCGAUGUUGACGCUGACUUAUUGGACUUUUUGGUUGAUGGUUUUCUUGGUCAGGAAAGGGUGGAAGGUGCUUACAAGUUGCUUGUAGAGGUUGUUAGCACGUAUCGUAUAUCGCCAUGGCAAGCUACAUUUAAGAAUCUGAUUGAAAGAUUGUUAGGAGUUGGGAAGCUUGAGAAUGCAUUUGACCUUCUUCGUCUAAUGAAGACACACAACUACCCUCCAUACCCUGAACCCUUUGUUUCCUAUAUUUCCAAGUUUGGGACAGUAGAAGAUGCUGCAGAAUUUCUUAAGGCACUGAGUAUGAAAAAAUACCCAUCUGUUGCAUCUUACCUUCAUGUUUUUGAAUCCUUCUUCCGAGAAGGUAGAUUCUAUGAGGCCAAAGAUUUGUUGUACAAGUGUCCUCAUCAUAUUCGUCAGGACAGUAAAAUUGCUGAACUUUUUAGUUCAAACAAGAGUCGUGCAGCCACUAAUUGACACCUGGAAACUCGUUCUUUUUUCUAAUAUGCCUCAUCUUUUUUCCAAAUGAUUACUGUUAUCAACUCUGAUCAAGCUGUUAGGUGGGUUUGGUCAUUUGCUGGCAGAAGACCACUUGGAUUAUAAAUAUUUUAAUGUGCCAGGUUUCUCCGUUUUUUUUGCUCUCGUUUGAUUGUAGUUACUUGGGGCUGAUUCAUGAUAAGGUUGACCAGAACACACAGGAUAUGCAGCAUAUAAUCUUGCUGAGCAUGCGCCAUUGCCAUUGAUAUUCUGGAUCACUUGCAGCAAUUUUCGGAACUUGAAUCUGAUUAAAAGAGAUUGAUAUGCAAAUAAAAACAUUUCAAUUGUUUCAUUAUAUUUCUUUAGUAUUAAGUAUUAACCAAGCAUUACAUAACAAUUUUUUUAAAAGAAUUAUACUAUUCUCCUGAGUUUUGUUUCUUCCAUGUUAUUUGACAUUAGCGUAUGUUUCAGAUAUCAGA